GGCCCUGAGCUCUGUGGGCCCCAGGUGCCCCAGGAAAACUUGGGGGAGAAUGGGCAUCCCACCCCAGCACUUUCUAGGAAGGAGGGCAGCAUUUUGAAGGGCUGGAAGUAGAGGAAGGAGGUUGCGGGUAGAAGACUCCAUACUUUCUGUGAUGCCUAUUCCUUAGGUAGGAACUUAGGAACCUCAGCUUGAGAUGAAUGUUUUCUCAGUAUCCUAUGCUGAAAACAGGUAGAUACUAAUAUCGAUCUUCAAGGGAGGGCUGUUGAGUUUUGAAUAAGACAAAAACAUGGAAGCAAUCAGCACCAUGCUGGAGAGCCUUUAUAUAACCAAAGAUAUUUUUGGACCAUGAAUUCGGAAAUUCUCGGAGCCACCCAUCAGUGCCUGAGCUUCAGUGAGUCCAUAUCCCAUGUCACCCACGGCAAAGGAGAAUCUAAGACUUCUGAAGAGUUUCUUGCUUCUUUCCUGUGGGGCAGUGACUCCACUUCCCAGCAGUAAUGGAAUAUCCUGAAUUAGCUACAUUAAUGUUAGAACCAUUUGGACCUCACCCAGGACUUCAACUACAUUAUGCUAAAGUUACAGAACCCAAAUUUGGCAACUGUCUGCAUCUGAACAACAGAAGUUUCAACAUUCUGCCAACAGAGUAACUCCUGGACGAUUGGCACAGAAGGCACAAGGCAAAUACCUAUCUCUGUACACCCUGUGCUACUGUGUCAUGUGCUGCUCCAGGCAACUCCAAUGGAUUGGCCACCCUGGCCAAUGUGUUCUAGUAUGUUAGGUUUAUGUUCCCCUGCUUUCUACAAUCCUGUUCAAAGAGUUGCUGACUUAACCACAGAGAGGAUUCCAGAACAUGAGACACAGAAUAAACUUGAGCAAUCAUAG
rnacentral:antisense_RNA from 1 species